AGUGAACGCUGGCGGCAGGCCUAACACAUGCAAGUCGAGCGGCAGCGCGGGGGCAACCCUGGCGGCGAGCGGCGGACGGGUGAGGAAUUCGUCGGAAUCUGCCUUUUUGUGGGGGAUAACGUAGGGUAACUUACGCUAAUACCGCAUACGUCCUACGGGAGAAAGUGGGGGACCGCAAGGCCUCACGCAGAAAGAUGAGCCGACGACCGAUUAGCUAGUUGGUGGGGUAAAGGCCCACCAAGGCGACGAUCGGUAGCUGGUCUGAGAGGAUGAUCAGCCACACUGGGACUGAGACACGGCCCAGACUCCUACGGGAGGCAGCAGUGGGGAAUAUUGGACAAUGGGCGCAAGCCUGAUCCAGCCAUGCCGCGUGUGUGAAGAAGGCCUUCGGGUUGUAAAGCACUUUUGUCCGGAAAGAAAUCCCUGGAGCUAAUACCUUCGGGGGAUGACGGUACCGGAAGAAUAAGCACCGGCUAACUUCGUG
rnacentral:rRNA from 1 species